AGGAUGAACGCUGGCGGUCUGCUUAACACAUGCAAGUCGAACGGGCGUAGCAAUACGUUAGUGGCGGACGGGUGAGUAACGCGUGAGAAUCUACCUUCAGGACGGAGACAACAGUUGGAAACGACUGCUAACCCCCGAUGUACUGAAAAGGCAAAUAUUUAUAGCCUGAAGAAGAGCUCGCGUCCGAUUAGCUAGUUGGAGAGGUAAAAGCUCACCAAGGCGACGAUCGGUAGCUGGUCUGAGAGGACGAUCAGCCACACUGGGACUGAGACACGGCCCAGACUCCUACGGGAGGCAGCAGUGGGGAAUUUUCCGCAAUGGGCGAAAGCCUGACGGAGCAAGACCGCGUGGGGGAAGAAGGCUCGUUGGGUUGUAAACCCCUUUUCUCUGGGAAGAAGUUGUGAAGCAGCCUGACGGUACCAGAGGAAUCAGCAUCGGCUAACUCCGUGCCAGCAGCCGC
rnacentral:rRNA from 1 species